rnacentral:lncRNA from 1 species
GAGUAUUGAGAUGCAGGUAAGACAUGUGUAAUCUGAAUUGAGACAUAUGGAGGGCUUACAUAGUAUGUAUGUGCAAUCUUUAAUUGUAGGUUGAAUUCUUGUUCUCUAGAUCCACCUUCACCGACAUCACGCGCUCGUCUGUGACCUCCCACCAGCAGCGCCUUGAGGCCACCCACACAGGCGACCAAGCAAUUCCAUGCUGUCACCCUGCUACUUCGCCAACGACAUCGAGGAGGUCGUGGGUGAGAGCUACUGUCCUCCUUGGAGAACAUGCUGGUGCCCCAUGCGUACGAAGAAGAGCUAAGACACUCGCAUGGGUGCUCAAGGAAAUACACCAUAUUGAGCGAGGUUAGAUUAAAGUUUCUUCAUUCUUCACUAGCUAUUCUUGUGCCUUUAGGUAUUUCAGAUAAGUAUCGUAUGCUGCCUGCAACAUAUAAGGGAAACAAAAAAGGAUUACAAAAUACUUAUGCUUCUUCAUAGUUGUCCAUUUGGUUCUAAAAUUUGUCGAGUGGCAGACUAUUUUACAUUAAUUAAUAAAUAACGUUGCUGCACACGUGAGUUGGUUUGCAAUGAAGUGGGCCAGUAUACAUGUUUUUGUUGACUAAAUAUUUUUCAUAAAUACGGGGGUAUGAAGAUAAUCUAUUCUUUCUUUACCCCGUUGACAAUGGGACAAUGAUCUUUUUGUGUUUUAGAGUAAAAAAACAGACUCUAAUCUGAAUCUAACGAGUAAAAAAAUUAUCAUUGUGUUUCAGAGUGUUACACAAUUUAUCAACAAGAGCAAAGACUCUAAUCUGAUGAUGUAGAACAGCUUUAAUGUGACAGAGGAUCGUGGUGGUCGAUGGAUUCUGCACCUGGUAGUAGACUAAGAAAGGAACAUUAUGUAUGGAACACAAUGAUAUUCACAGCACCCCUGCACUAUGUGAGAUUUAGAAGGUAUUCAAAUUAGUGUUUGUUGAUAACUGCAAAUUUCGUGUGUCCGAGUUUCAUAUUUUUCUAUCCCUGUCAACGUACUAAUCCGUUGUUCUUUGAUGUGCAGUUGGUACCGCCGGCGGAUGCAUCCAUGUGCUAAUCUGCUGGCACCGAGUAGGCGGAGCCAAACGAGUGGGGGCCUCCAGCCGGCUGGUAGUGGACAACAACACCGGGUUUGUUAAUUACUCAACAAGUCACAGAUUGAUCUAUUUUUUAUUAGUUUGGAGUGGAUUAUCAGGCCUGCCGCGCAAUCAUAGAUUUACCUUUUGAUUUAUGUGGGUGGACAAAAACACCCUUUCUGAAGUUUUCUAGGGAUUGUAAUGAAGCACAACUUGCUCAGUGAUACCAAUCCCUUCGAGCUCCCUCAACCCUUCGCCAACACUUCUUCAGUUUCUCAACACAAGUGAGUUCUCUCUGCACCAGCAUUAUUGUUAAUCAAUGUACGAGCCGGUAAUCAGAGUUUAGAUACAUGCUACUAAUGCUAGCACACUCCCCACGUGGACAGAGUGGCGGCCGAAUGAUAUAGUUAAACAAUUAACUGAUUUGGUAGAAGUGACGAACCUUAUUACGGACAAAGAGAGAUGCAUAAUUUUCCUAAUUUGUUUAUUAUUGGUCGUUCCAUGCAUCGUUCGGGGUAAAAAAUGACUAGAACAUGAGUUUUUCCCUGUAUACUUAUCCAUGCCUGAUGGCACUACACCGCAUUAGCAUACUUUAAGUUUGUCCUUGUAUUAUCUCUUAUUCAGGGUAGAAAUGCCCGGAACAAACAAAUGACGAAUUGUAGUGUAGUCAUUCUUGCAGUUAAAGAUUAUGUUUAAAAUUGUUCAUCACUUGGGAUGCUGCCAACUUGCAGGGUGGAUGAGACAUUAAAUUGCCAUAUUGCUUUCCCCUCUUAUUCACUGUUGUAAGCUUGGUUCUUGAGGAACUUCUCAUUGUUGUACAUGUAGGUUGUGGAAAAUAGAAAUAAAAUCUAUUUGUUCAUUCUUCUACUGUACCACCGAUCCAUCUCCCACGGUUCAGUAAAUUUCAGUUAUGUGCUUAAAUUUUAGGAAGCCAUCAUCUUCUAAAACAUAUUGUUACCUACUCAAACAUAUUGUCUUCCUUUGUGUUUCCGAUAAAUUAUUUACAAAACACACGUAAAAUAGAAGUUGCAGAACCUGCAUUGGACCAUGCUCAUUUGCUUUGUCCAUUUUUUCGAAGAAAUAAUACUCUCCAAAUACCUAAGCAUUCAGAAUUAUGACUUAGUGUGCUAUUACAUUUCCCAG